rnacentral:rRNA from 1 species
AUUGAACGCUGGCGGCAGGCUUAACACAUGCAAGUCGAGCGGGGUGAUGGUGCUUGCACUAUCACUUAGCGGCGGACGGGUGAGUAAUGCUUAGGAAUCUGCCUAUUAGUGGGGGACAACAUCUCGAAAGGGAUGCUAAUACCGCAUACGUCCUACGGGAGAAAGCAGGGGAUCACUUGUGACCUUGCGCUAAUAGAUGAGCCUAAGUCGGAUUAGCUAGUUGGUGGGGUAAAGGCCUACCAAGGCGACGAUCUGUAGCGGGUCGGAGAGGAUGAUCCGCCACACUGGGAAUGAGACACGGCCCAGACUCCUACGGGAGGCAGCAGUGGGGAAUAUUGGACAAUGGGGGGAACCCUGAUCCAGCCAUGCCGCGUGUGCGAAGAAGGCCUUAUGGUUGUAAAGCACUUUAAGCGAGGAGGAGGCUCUUUUGGUUAAUACCCAAGAUGAGUGGACGUUACUCGCAGAAUAAGCACCGGCUAACUCUGUGCCAGCCGCCGCGGUAA